GUGGGGAAUAUUCCGCAAUGGACGAAAGUCUGACGGAGCAACGCCGCGUGAGUGAUGAAGGUUUUCGGACUGUAAAGCUCUGUUGUUUAGGACGAAAGUGCCUGUUGCAAAUAGUUACAGGUAUUGACGGUACUGAACGAGGAAGCCACGGCUAACUACGUGCCAGCAGCCGCGGUAAUACGUAGGUGGCAAGCGUUGUCCGGAAUUAUUGGGCGUAAAGAGCAUGUAGGCGGGAAUCUAAGUCUGUUGUGAAAAUGCGGGGCUCAACCCCGUAUUGCGAUGGAAACUGAAUUUCUUGAGUGCAGGAGAGGAAAGGGGAAUUCCCAGUGUAGCGGUGAAAUGCGUAGAUAUUGGGAGGAACACCAGUGGCGAAGGCGCCUUUCUGGACUGUGUCUGACGCUGAGAUGCGAAAGCCAGGGUAGCGAACGGGAUUAGAUACCCGGGUAGUCC
rnacentral:rRNA from 1 species